GACGAACGCUGGCGGCGUGCCUAAUACAUGCAAGUCGAACGCACAGUUUAUACCGUAGCUUGCUACACCAUAAACUGUGAGUUGCGAACGGGUGAGUAACGCGUAGGUAACCUGCCUGGUAGCGGGGGAUAACUAUUGGAAACGAUAGCUAAUACCGCAUAAUAUUAAUUAUUGCAUGAUAAUUGAUUGAAAGAUGCAAUUGCAUCACUACCAGAUGGACCUGCGUUGUAUUAGCUAGUAGGUGAGGUAACGGCUCACCUAGGCGACGAUACAUAGCCGAACCGGGAAGGGGAUCCGCCACACUGGGAACGGGACACGGCCCAGAACUCUACGGGAGGCAGCAGGAGGGAAACUUUGGCAAAGGAAGAAAGGUCUGACGGGGCACCGCGGGGUAGGUAAGAAGGGUGUCCGGACCGUAAGCCUCUGUUUUAGAGAAGAACGGGGUGGGGGGUUGAAAGGUCACCCCUUGAAGGUAAUCUAACAGAAAGGGACCGCUAACUACGUG
rnacentral:rRNA from 1 species